rnacentral:rRNA from 1 species
CCCUUAGAUGUUCUGGGCCGCACGCGCGCUACACUGAUGCAUUCAACGAGCACCCGCUGGGCCGAGAGGUCCGGCUAAUCUUUGAACGUGCAUCGUGCUGGGGAUAGAUGAUUGCAAUUAUUCAUCUUCAACGAGGAAUUCCUAGUAAACGCAAGUCAUCAGCUUGCAUUGAUUACGUCCCUGCCCUUUGUACACACCGCCCGUCGCACCUACCGAUUGAAUGGUCCGGUGAAAUUCUCGGACGCGGACUUGCGAUGUUAAUUCGGAGCUUGACUGUGAAAGUUAAUUAAACCUUACCAUUUAGAGGAAGGUGAAGUCGUAGCA